GGAAGGGUCACAGGUCAGUGGCGGAACAUCUGCCUUGCAAGCAGAAGAUCCCCCGUUCAAUCCCUGGCCUCUCCA